rnacentral:lncRNA from 1 species
CGAGAUUCUCUAUAAUUUUUCCAAUAAACAACAAGAGUUUGCAGCGAUCCCAUUGCUUUGCGGAUACUGCGUGAACAUAAAUUUGAAAGGACAGCCGGACAUAUUUUUAUUAAAAUAUAAGGAAGAUAAAUCCAAGAAUAAGUUGAAGUAUUUUCUGGGAAACACCUAAUGAACUUAAGAUAAAAAUGGAAUAUUUGAAGUAUUAAACUUACAUGCACUGGUGGUAUAUAAUAUUUUUUUACACCGUUAAAUUAAACUAAAACACUAAAAGAUAGUUCUCUAUAUAAUAAAUCCAAAUUUUCUAGCAUUGAAAUCAACCAAGUAGGUUGUUAAUAACCAACUAAAAUGAACUAACAACGUAAAAAUUACUUACUACUAGUACUAUUACAUAAGUUAAAUUAAUCAUAUUCAAAAACAUGAGGGUAAUUAAAUAGGAACUUGAAAUUAACUAAGGAGAAAUAAUAAACGAAAAAAGGUAGUACAAAAGGCAAGUAAUUAAACAUUACCCUAUGAAUAAUCGUCCUAGUUUUCUUGACUUUAAUGAAGUAAUCUUGAGAACAAGGCCAGGGAAAACAUCAUCAUUAUCAUUAAUAUGGGUAUUUUCUUCCAAUAUAAAAGGAUCGUUACACUUAUCAGAUAUAGUUUGUAGACUUUCUCCUUCUUCAACUACGUAUAUUUCAUCACAGACUUCGCUCCCAACUAUUUUCAUAGACUGAUCAUCUUCAAGAUUUAGAGCUUCCAAAAAAGAGAAGUUCAAUGUUGUAAGCAACAGAAAUAGAAGAAAAAGAGAGGAAUAGUAAUUAAUAUUUGCUGAAAAAGACAUUCUUGAGGAAGCCAUGAGAGUUGGAAAGAAAGGAAAAUAGAUGUAGAUAUAAGAAGAUUGAAGAGAAGUUGUGUUACUUUAUAUUAGUAUGUGAAGGAAGUGGGGAAGGUCCACGUUGUGUUAGGAAAGCUAUUGAUUUGGGGAAGUGGGGGUUGUGGUAGUUAUAUAUUUUCAUGUUCUUUUAAUUUGUUGGGUAGAGGAUGAGUUUUUUUUAUUUUAACGUCACAUUUUCUACUAGCUUGAUUUUUUUCCUUAAUUGACUUUGAGUAAUAAAGAAAUACUAUGAAGA